rnacentral:tRNA from 1 species
GGGGAUGUAGCUCAGUGGUAGAGUUCUUGCCUAGCAUGUUUUAGGCCCUGGGUUCAAUCCCCAGGAUUAUCA